AGUGAACGCUGGCGGUAGGCCUAACACAUGCAAGUCGAACGGCAGCACAGUAAGAGCUUGCUCUUACGGGUGGCGAGUGGCGGACGGGUGAGGAAUACAUCGGAAUCUACUUUUUCGUGGGGGAUAACGUAGGGAAACUUACGCUAAUACCGCAUACGACCUACGGGUGAAAGCAGGGGAUCUUCGGACCUUGCGCGAUUGAAUGAGCCGAUGUCGGAUUAGCUAGUUGGCGGGGUAAAGGCCCACCAAGGCGACGAUCCGUAGCUGGUCUGAGAUGAUGGCCAGCCAACGUGGAGAGGCGACACGGCACAGACUCCUACGGGAGGCAGCCGUGGGGAAUCAUGGACACUCGUCCAAAGCCUGAUACAGCAAUGUGGCGGGGGUGAACAAGGAUCUCGGUUUGUGUCCCCGUUUUCUAGGGAAAUACAAGCAGCAUUUCAAUCCCCUGCUGUUCUGACGGACCCAAAAGAAUAAGCACCUGCUACCUUCCUGCCAGCACCCUCCGUAAUAAUGGAACGCGCACUCCCCUGAUC
rnacentral:rRNA from 1 species